CUUAUUCUGAUUUCUUCGGAAUGAAAAAUUUGGUGACUGAGUGGCGGACGGGUGAGUAACGCGUGGGUAACCUGCCUCAUACAGGGGGAUAACAGUUAGAAAUGACUGCUAAUACCGCAUAAGACCACAGCACCGCAUGGUGCAGGGGUAAAAACUCCGGUGGUAUGAGAUGGACCCGCGUCUGAUUAGGUAGUUGGUGGGGUAACGGCCUACCAAGCCGACGAUCAGUAGCCGACCUGAGAGGGUGACCGGCCACAUUGGGACUGAGACACGGCCCAAACUCCUACGGGAGGCAGCAGUGGGGAAUAUUACACAAUGGGGGAAACCCUGAUGCAGCGACGCCGCGUGAGCGAUGAAGUAUUUCGGUAUGUAAAGCUCUAUCAGCAGGGAAGAAAAUGACGGUACCUGACUAAGAAGCACCGGCUAAAUACGUGCCAGCAGCCGCGGUAAUACGUAUGGUGCAAGCGUUAUCCGGAUUUACUGGGUGUAAAGGGAGCGUAGACGGAGUGGCAAGUCUGAUGUGAAAACCCGGGGCUCAACCCCGGGACUGCAUUGGAAACUGUCAAUCUAGAGUACCGGAGAGGUAAGCGGAAUUCCUAGUGUAGCGGUGAAAUGCGUAGAUAUUAGGAGGAACACCAGUGGCGAAGGCGGCUUACUGGACGGUAACUGACGUUGAG
rnacentral:rRNA from 1 species